AUUGGCGCCCGUUUUCACCUCCGUGAAUGAAUCAAAAAGGUAUAGUUGCCGGAAUCGGCUGGAUCUGCUCGCUGGAUCACCAAACGGCUCGUCCACGCCAUCCAGUCGCUUUUGCCGGCGAUGGAUUCAGCAACAUCUUCCAGGUAAAUGGACACCAACCCCAAACCGGCCGACGAUUUCCCGCCGUGAAUCAGCGGCCGGCCGUUGUGAAACCAAACGAACGGCGCUCUGCCACCCACCACCUGCUGAAAUGGAAUCGACUCUUAUAAUUAGGGGGGGGGAGGGUUGAAAUUGGGUGAAUUAUUUACGACGGACGUACCGCGGGUAACGACAACUGGUGAAGUGCCGUCUGUUCCCGGUUGGUCUCGUUGCUGUUGUUAAUAUGGAAAUUGUUGGCUUCUGGGUAGAGUUUGCAAUGCAGUUGGAUGUUGCUCUCGGCUUCGACGUGGUGCUCACUGCCCUCGACGACCGACGCUACCGGCGCCCAGACUAAAAGUUCGACAAAGUGCGAAACUUGUCCCUGUCCGCCCGCUAUCUGCGUCGGACGUCGGUUGGAAAAAUAAUAAUUCAAAUUCCGUCAAUAUAAUUCACAUUUCCUGUGUGACAUUUUGUAAUAAUUCUAGAGUGUUUUGGCAUUUGUUCCUUUUGUUUGAUUACGAGGGGUUUCGUUCAGCGUGAAUGAGUUAUUGGUGGGAUCGUCACGUUUUCAUACACGGCCGAAUCGUCACGCAAUCUGAACGCCAGUCAACUGCUCUCAGAUUCGUACACAAAUGCACUUCCUUUUCUUCUUUUCUUUUCUCGCCUCUUUUACAACAUCCAGCAGAAUGGCGUGUCUCCCCAUUCAGUUGCUCUUCCAUUUAUACAUGUACGCAUAUACUCACUCUCCUAUGUAUUCAAUGAAAAGAAAAACUUGAACUGAAUCAUGGAUGGACGGCGUCGAACGGAGAGCCACGAACUGCUGGACCAGAAUCAACUUGACGGGACGAUUCAUUAGAGCGUGAAAAAAAUAAAAGGGAAAACCCGGUUGGCAAGGAAAGGAAGUAAAAACAAAUAAACGAGUGGUGACGUCAUGUCAGAUUUUUUGUCUCUGAUGGUCAUGGAUGACUGCUGGAUUGUCAACAGGAUCACGUUCUAUACCAACACCCGUAUCAUCGAGAUCCCAGUCGUAUUUUCCCUUUUAUUGAUUCACGUUUUCUUUAUUUACCUGACAUUCAUAGGUGCCGGAAUCGUAGAGUUGCGGCGAUUUGAGCAUCAGAAUCCAGUCGGGUGAGCCGGGCCGGUUGAGGACGCUGAAACGGCUGUCGGCCGUGUAGAUGUGACUGCCGGACGACAUGAUGUGCCAAUCUCUCCGCCGAAUCCACGAAACCUGUCGCAAAAGUGACAACCAAAUGGGGAAAUUAGAAUUCAUUAUUAGCCGCGUUUUAUUCCAUCAAUCACUAAUCAAAUGUGUCGCUUUUGGACUCCUGAAAAGGGCAAUGUGUCGGUGGCAAUCCUGAACAGGACAACCAAAGCCGAGCGUAAAGUCCAGGACCACAAAAUGUCAUCAAAUUGUAUCGGCAUUAAAAUUGAACAUUGUGAAUGCGUGUUGGGAUUCUGUGUCGCCUUUUGACUGGCGACAAAGUUUUGUCAAACUCACGCGAAAUUUCACCUCAUCUUCCGUUAACAUUGGGAACCCGCAAUAGGCACAUAUAUGGAGGGUUAUAGGUUAUUCAUCACUACGAGGAUGACAGUCGUAAUGCACCGGGAACAUUUCCAUAACAGACGACCGGUUGGUUUCUGGAACGAAAACAAAGUCGGGGAAACUGAUGGCCUUUGCAAAUUAACCAUCAAGUCGCCGCAAAUCAACAAAGUGGCGGUUAGAACUAAGUAACAAGUAGCACUCAUCCAACUCCUCUUCUUUUUGGUUAAAAAUUUAAUCUCAGUGCAAUUUUGAACUCAAUUUUGUUGUUUUGGCAAAGCUUUUUAAUUUUAGCUUUAAGAUUAUUUGGCUGUGGAUUAUUGCCGGCAUCGUUCCACUCACCUCGUCCUCGUACGUUUUCGCCAAAGUUUUCUAAGUGCGUCGCAUUUAAUUUCUCCGAUACAGCUAUAGUGGACUUUGAUAUUCGAUUAUCUUUCCGGAAUCCUUAAACUGUCAUCUGCACAUUCGGUGGACCCUCUUCCUUUCCUCUUGAUAAUUAUUAAUGAUCCACCCACAACGUCUCAAGAUUUUCAAGUUGCAAGUGAACAAGGGAGGCGAGAGACUUGAGACAAGCAGCUAAGAAGGAACUAAGAAAAAGGAUCGUUAAAUUAUCAACUUGGAAACCGAUUGGAGUUGCUCAGAAAAGGUGUAACAAAAAGAAAAAAAGAUUUGAUACGAGACGAUUCUGCUGAUUUGAAGUCAAACAAACCUGCAAGGUUUCAACCGUCACGUAGGAAAAUUUAACCUUCUUGUCCAUCAACGGCGUUGUCAAGGAAGAUAUACAGUGUACACCAAUAACCAGAUCCAAACAACGAAAUCGGAUAUCGAGAAACAAGCAAAACACAUCCGAGUCUUUUGAGAGCCUAGGAAACAGGAAGACGCCGAAAGGGAAAACUCGUGUCGUUGACGUCAACAACAUGUUUCCCGUGAUUGUAAAACAAGUAAAAAGAUGCUGAACAUGCAAAUGUUGUUUCCAACGUUGUCGUGACAGUCUCAUUUUGCGCUUCUUUUUUUUCUCCUCUCAAUCUGUUAAUUAAUGCAACAAAGUUUCAAUAACAGACGAUGAUUUUUUUUAAAUAUUCUCUCUAGUCCAUAUUAUCUGUUAUGAAAUUGUACUAAAUAAAACGGUUAAACUUUUA